GGCCAAUCAGGACCGUGAGCGGUGAGGCUGACGACACGUGGGCGGGGCGCGCCCUCUGCAGGAUCCUGCGGGCGGCUCGGACCGUGGAGACCUAGAAUCAAUUGCAGAAUCAAGCUCUGGAGCAGACAUCUGGGGUUUUGUAAGUUCUCCUUGGCCCACCUGGGCUGUUUGGAGUGCUCAGACUCACCUCCCAGGAGGGCAUCCUAUGCCUUAGGAUCCUGGAGUUGGGCUGUUUCCAUGAGGGGAUCCCACUGAUGGGCAGGGAAGGAUGCUGGACCUGAAUCUGCAGACACAACUAUAUCAUUCUGAGCUCUUGCUGGUGGACUUGCAGGCAAAAGAGGAAGGGAUAACAGACCCUGGCUGUUAGGAGGCUGUUGAGUGUUACCACACAACUGGCACUUAGAGGAGUUGUGCAUUGGAGUACUUCCAUGAGAGGUACUAGUGCAGCAGACGCUGUCAACAACAGGGGCUCAUACCCCUCAGGGGUGAAGGUCUGGGUACCCCAUUAGGCAAGCUGUGGUACCCAGCUGGUGAGGCAGGGGAGGGUCAUGAUGAAUGUUGCUUACAUCCCUGGGUGCCUCAGCAGCAGUGGCGACUCUACUUGCUGUAUUUCUUGCACCAAGUCGAGGUGGUGACCAGCCUUCCCAUUGAAGGACCUCAUUCCACCUUAAAUUGCUGUGGACCCACAGAGCUGCCUCUGAGGCACCCGCCACGCAUCUGUGUUUUUGUACUUCCUGCCCCAGGAACUCUCUGGUACAGCAGGAGCCUGCAGGGUCUGCUUACCAGCACUGUUCCCAACAGCCGAGACAAGAAAUCAACCCAGUCCAUCCAGGGACCAAUGGGUAAAGGAAGUGUGAUAUAUGAUGGAAUUUUACUCAGCCACAAAAAGAAGGG